rnacentral:lncRNA from 1 species
GAAGGAGAAAGCAGGAGGAAAAAGGAGAUGGAGAGAGAGAAGAAAUGUCUUAAAAUGCAAUAGGGAAGAGGAGUUAAAAAACUAGAAAGAGAUAUAUUAAAUAUAGGAGUCUCUCUCAAUGCCAGUCAUCCCAUGAGUUCAUUCCACUGUACCAAGAGAGAAAAACAAGUCCCAAGGAAGAUUUGGGGAGGUCCUAUUAUGUACAGAUGUAUGCUGUUCAUUUUACAGAUGAGGAAACUGGAUCCAAAAGGAUUAAAUUAUUUUCCUAGGGUCACACAGCUGCCAAAUAGCUGAGGUAAGAUUUGAAUUCUGGUCUUCCAGAUUCCAUUCCUGGUGCUCUAUCCCUUAUACUACCUAGCUGUUCAUAAAGUAGCUACAUUGGUGGGGAAUAGAAUUCAAGUCUUGGUAUAGAAAGUGAGAAUUUACCACUGAACCACUAAUUCAAAUACUGGGAAUAGAAAGAAAGGUAAAAGACUAUCUUUGUUCUUAAAUACUUCACAGUCUAAUAAGACUUUUUUAUUAUUUCAUUUUACAGAUGGAGAAGUGGAGGCAGCAGAAGUUAUGUGACUUGCUCAUGUUUCUACAGCUAAGAAGGAGCAGAGUACAAAGAGUGGAGUCUCCAAUCUGGCUUGAAAGCAUGAGUAAUGAGGAUCUGAGAUUUCAGGAAUCCAAGCUGGAUAAUAUAGUCAUCUUGGCAAAGAAAUCCUGAGAACCAUGGGUCAGGAACAAUAACCCAGUGGACACUAGCACUACAGGCUGGAAAGUAAACUUGGUGGGAACAAUGCUACAUUGAAUUAAACUGUGAACCUAAUUCCUGCCCCCCAAUUCCUAAGAUGUAAUAUGAGAGCCAUUGUGACCCGGAGAUGUUAGAAGUCCUCUUACUUUGUUCUUGCUAUAUUUUUAAAGUAAAUAUUUCUUUAUAAAGCUAAUAUGAUGGUAACUAAUUAAAUAAAACUAGGACUAGUCACUAGAUCCCUAAAAUG